rnacentral:rRNA from 1 species
GGCCUUUUAUAGAUUUAAGGUCCAACCUGCCCACUGAGUAUUGAAGGGCCGUGGUAUACUGACCAUGCGAAGGUAGCAUAAUCAUUUGCCCCUUAAUUAGGGGCUGGAAUGAAGGGUUAGACGAGAAACUAGCUGUCUCUUCUAUUUACUUGAAGUUAAUUAUUUGGUGAAAAAGCUAAACUUUUCUUAGAGGACGAUAAGACCCUAUAGAUCUUUUUCGUUGGGGCGACGUUGAGGGUUGAACUAUCUCUCAAAAUGUUCUAACAUUGAUAAAUGAUUUUUGAUCCUUUGGUGAAUUAGGAUAAAGUUACCUUAGGGAUAACAGCGUAAUUUUUCUUGAGAGUCCUUAUCGACAGAAAAGUUUGCGACCUCGAUGUUGGUUCAGGGUUCCUUUUAGGCGCAGCAGUUUAAUAAGGUAGUCUGUUCGACUAUUAAAUCCCUACG